rnacentral:rRNA from 1 species
GGCGGACGGGUGAGUAACGCGUGGGUAACCUGCCCUGUACACACGGAUAACAUACCGAAAGGUAUGCUAAUACGGGAUAACAUACUUUUAUCGCAUGGUAGAAGUAUCAAAGCUCCGGCGGUACAGGAUGGACCCGCGUCUGAUUAGCUAGUUGGUAAGGUAACGGCUUACCAAGGCGACGAUCAGUAGCCGACCUGAGAGCGUGAUCGGCCACAUUGGAACUGAGACACGGUCCAAUACUCCUACGGGAGGCUGCAGUGGCGAAUAUUGCACAAUGGGCGAAAGCCUGAUGCACCAACGCCGCGUGAGCGAUGAAGGCCUUCGGGUCGUAAAGCUCUGUCCUCAAGGAAGAUAAUGACGGUACUUGUGGAGGAAGCCCCGGCUAACUACGUGCCAGCAGCCGCGGUAAUACGUAGGGGGCUAGCGUUAUCCGGAAUAACUGGGCGUAAAGGGUGCGUAGGUCGUUUCUUAAGUCAGAAGUGAAAGGUUACGGCUCAACCGUAGUAAGCUUUUGAAAUUAAGAGACUUCAGUGCAGGAGAGGAGAGUAGAAUUCCUAGUGUAGCGGUGAAAUGCGUAGAUAUUACGAGGAAUACCAGUUGCGAAGGCCGCUCU